GGGGGCGUAAUGGAUUCGACGGGGAUUUUGAAUUACAGUAAGCGAGUAGAGAAUGGGCGUUAGCCUAUGUGGCACUCUUUAAGCCAAAAUUUAAAUUUAAACGCAGAUAAUAAUAAUUAUCAACUAGCUGCUGCUUAAAGCACAGCUCGUUCGUCCUAGUAAACCGCGGCUAGACACGAACGUCAUUUAGCGGUAAAUGUUUGAUGGGAGAUGCUCCGAACUAUCAAACACACAGGAGCUACCGAAGUGCGAAGCUUGUCGUAAAGCAGCGCAUCGACCGCAAGGUCUAUCGGGAAUUGGGACUUAGUCCCGAAGAUUUACGACUGCACUCGGAGAAAGCUGUAUGGACGGAUUUUCGGACGGGAGUUCGACUCUCCCCGCCUCCACCA
rnacentral:tmRNA from 1 species